rnacentral:rRNA from 1 species
AUGAAGUUGCAUUAUCACCCAGGAAAGGCCAAUGUCAUAGCAGACGCUUUGAGCCGGAAGAGUUAUGCCAAUACCCUCGUAAGCGGAGGAUUGCCAAAGGAGUUAGCCGAAGAUCUCAGGGAGCUUCGUUUGGAGAUAGUCCCUAGAGGUUUUGUUGCAGCAUUGGAAGUUCAGUCAACACUAUUGGGAAAGAUUCGAAAAGCUCAGAAGGAUGACAAAGAGAUUGCUGAGAUAAAGGAGAAGAUGAGCAAAGGAAAAGCCAAAGGUUUUUGUGAGGAUGACCACUGCACCUUGUGGUUUGAGGACCGUGUUUAUGUGCCCAAUAAUGUGGAGAUCAGGAAGUUGAUACUUGAGGAAGCUCAUGACUCGCCAUACUCGAUACACCCCAGAAACACCAAGAUGUAUUUGGAUUUGAAGGAGCGUUUCUGGUGGACUGGUAUGAAGAAGGAUAUUGCCGAGUAUGUAGCCGUGUGUGAUGUAUGUCAGAGAGUGAAGGCAGAACAUCAGAAGCCAGCAGGAUUACUGCAGCCUAUGCCAAUACCCGAAUAG